rnacentral:rRNA from 1 species
AGACCCGAAACCCGGUGAUCUAGCCAUGGGCAGGUUGAAGGUUGGGUAACACUAACUGGAGGACCGAACCGACUAAUGUUGAAAAAUUAGCGGAUGACCUGUGGCUGGGGGUGAAAGGCCAAUCAAACCGGGAGAUAGCUGGUUCUCCCCGAAAGCUAUUUAGGUAGCGCCUCGUGAAUUCAUCUCCGGGGGUAGAGCACUGUUUCGGCUAGGGGGCCAUCCCGGCUUACCAACCCGAUGCAAACUGCGAAUACCGGAGAAUGUUAUCACGGGAGACACACGGCGGGUGCUAACGUCCGUCGUGAAGAGGGAAACAACCCAGACCGCCAGCUAAGGUCCCAAAGUCAUGGUUAAGUGGGAAACGAUGUGGGAAGGCCCAGACAGCCAGGAUGUUGGCUUAGAAGCAGCCAUCAUUUAAAGAAAGCGUAAUAGCUCACUGGUCGAGUCGGCCUGCGCGGAAGAUGUAACGGGGCUAAACCAUGCACCGAAGCUGCGGCAGCGAACGUAUCACUUAAAGCGAUUCAGCGGGUUACGAUUGACGGAGCGAAGCGACGUCAAAGCGUAUACAAAGUCGAGUCGGUUUAAGGAUACGUUCGUUGGGUAGGGGAGCGUUCUGUAAGCCUGUGAAGGUGUGUCGUGAGGCAUGCUGGAGGUAUCAGAAGUGCGAAUGCUGACAUAAGUAACGAUAAAGCGG